CAAGAACGGGAACUCGCGGCUCUGCACCGGAAAGUGCGGGACGAAGCCCGGGAGGCCGAGAGGUGUAUGGAGCAAGUGAGGACGCGGAGCAGGGACUUUAGGUACGGAUUACUCUGUAAUAAAAAAAACGGAAACCCCUUGGGAGGCGACCACGAACCUGCUACUCGGCUCGUCCAAAGGGCCGGACCCGGUGAUGGAAUCCUGGGCGGUUCAGCGAAGUCUGCAGGAAUGACAGCGUCUACUAAACGGAACAUAAUCCAGAAGAAGGCCUCUGGAGAUGGAGAGUCAACGGAAA